rnacentral:rRNA from 1 species
AUACGGAAGGUCCGGGCGUUAUCCGGAUUUAUUGGGUUUAAAGGGAGCGUAGGCGGGAGGCUAAGCGUGCUGUGAAAUCCGGCGGCUCAACCGUCGCGAGCAGCGCGAACUGGCUUUCUUGAGUGCGCGGGAGGCCGGCGGAAUUCGUGGUGUAGCGGUGAAAUGCUUAGAUAUCACGAAGAACCCCGAUUGCGAAGGCAGGCUGCCGUAGCGUUACUGACGCUGAAGCUCGAAGGUGCGGGUAUCGAACAGGAUUAGAUACCCUGGUAGUCCGCACGGUAAACGAUGGAUGCCCGCUGUCCGCUAUUUAAGUGGGUGGCCAAGCGAAAGCGUUAAGCAUCCCACCUGGGGAGUACGCCGGCAACGGUGAAACUCAAAGGAAUUGACGGGG